UCGCUAGUAAUCGCGGAUCAGCAUGCCGCGGUGAAUACGUUCCCGGGCCUUGUACACACCGCCCGUCACACCACGAGAGUUUGUAACACCCGAAGUCGGUGAGGUAACCUUUUAGGAGCCAGCCGCCGAAGGUGGGACAGAUGAUUGGGGUGAAGUCGUAACAAGGUAGCCGUAUCGGAAGGUGCGGCUGGAUCACCUCCUUUCUAAGGA
rnacentral:rRNA from 1 species